GACGAACGCUGGCGGCGUGCUUAACACAUGCAAGUCGAACGGUGACGGAGAGCUUGCUCUCCUGAUCAGUGGCGAACGGGUGAGUAACACGUGGGCAACCUGCCCCAGACUUCGGGAUAACGCUUCGAAAGAGGUGCUAAUACCGGAUACGAGCUCCUUGGGCAUCCUUGGAGUUGGAAAGUUUUUCGGUCUGGGAUGGGCCCGCGGCCUAUCAGCUAGUUGGUGAGGUAACGGCUCACCAAGGCGACGACGGGUAGCCGGCCUGAGAGGGCGACCGGCCACACUGGGACUGAGACACGGCCCAGACUCCUACGGGAGGCAGCAGUGGGGAAUAUUGCGCAAUGGGCGAAAGCCUGACGCAGCAACGCCGCGUGAGGGAUGACGGCCUUGGUGUAACUCUAUCAGCAGGGAAGAAGACGAAAGUAGACGGUACCUAGCAGAAGAAG
rnacentral:rRNA from 1 species